ensembl:lncRNA EPHA5-AS1 EPHA5 antisense RNA 1
GUAAGUGUGAGUUGCUUCGACGAAGUCACACACCCACGGAGGGAAGUAAUCUGGAGGCUGCCUUGCAAGUCUCAAGGUGACAAUAGUCCUCAGGCAGACAAGAAGGAAUAAGGGUUUGAGAUGAAUGGCUACAGCUGAGAGUAUGC